UGUCAGGCCUCUCUGAUAAUAAAUCACAAUUAAAAUCUCCUAAUAAAUAAAAUUCCGUGUUAUCAACAUCGAUCUUAUCAAUUACAUUGUGGAAUGCAGAAAGAACAGACAUUGGAGAAUUAGGAGGUCUAUACCAAGUCACUACCAAAAACGGCCUUGAGUGAGGUUUACAAAUUUCAAUGGCAAGGAGUUCCGCAGUUCGUCCAAUUAAUUGGUAAAUUAGAGCGCAUACAAAGGCGUGCAACGAGAUAUAUUCUUAGCAUACCAUACAGUUCUAAUGUAGAUUACACUCUUCGAUUGAAAAAAUUGAAUCUUAUCCCUAUUACC